GCCCGGGUGGCGGAAUUGGUAGACGCACCGGACUUAAAAUCCGGAGAGGGAAACCUCGUGCCGGUUCGAUUCCGGCUUCGGGCACCA
rnacentral:tRNA from 1 species